UACGUAGGGGGCAAGCGUUGUCCGGAUUUAUUGGGCGUAAAGAGCGUGUAGGCGGUCAGGUAGGUCCGUUGUGAAAACUCGAGGCUCAACCUCGAGACGCCGAUGGAAACCAUCUGACUAGAGUCCGGAAGAGGAGAGUGGAAUUCCUGGUGUAGCGGUGAAAUGCGCAGAUAUCAGGAGGAACACCAAUUGCGAAGGCAGCUCGCUGGGACGUAACUGACGCUGAGACGCGAAAGCGUGGGGAGCAAACAGG
rnacentral:rRNA from 1 species